rnacentral:rRNA from 1 species
GGGGAAGGGAGCGGGGACCAGACAGCGGCGGACGGGUGAGAUGCUAGGAAUCUGCCUAUAGUGGGGGACAACAUUCCGAAAGGACUGCUAUACCGCAUACGCCCUACGGGGGAAAGCAGGGGAUCUUCGGACCUUGCGCUAUAGACGAGCCUAAGUCAGAUUAGCUAGUUGGUGGGGUAAGGCCUACCAAGGCGACGAUCUGUACCGGCUCUGAGAGGAUGAUCCGCCACACUUGGGACUGAGACACGGACCAGACUCCACGGGAGGCACAGGGGGGAAAAUGGACAAAGGCGAAAGUCUGAUCCAUUCAGCCCCGCGAGCGAAAAAGCCUUGCGGUAGCAAACCCUCAAGCACCGCGAGGGCGCGGAAUGAACCCACGGAAGGGCCCUCCCCCCGAAUAGCCCGGCUAAUUUGUGCACAGCUGGCAAACCCACCGGCAACGGAAACCAUACCGGCUAAAAGCCCGCAAGGGGUUUAACCGAUGAAUACCCCCCCCCCCA